rnacentral:rRNA from 1 species
CCUACGGGUGGCAGCAGUGGGGAAUAUUGGACAAUGGGGGGAACCCUGAUCCAGCGACGCCGCGUGAGUGAAGAAGUAUUUCGGUAUGUAAAGCUCUAUCAGCAGGGAAGAAAGAAAUGACGGUACCUGACUAAGAAGCCCCGGCGAACUACGUGCCAGCAGCCGCGGUAAGACGUAGGGGGCAAGCGUGAUCCGGAUUUGCGGGGGGUAAAGGGGGCGUAGACGGCGGUGCAAGUCUGAAGUGAAAGGCGGGGGCUCAACCUCCGGACUGCUUUGGAAACUGUAUGGCUGGAGUGCAGGAGAGGUAAGUGGAAUUCCUAGUGUAGCGGUGAAAUGCGUAGAUAUUAGGAGGAACACCAGUGGCGAAGGCGGCUUACUGGACUGUAACUGACGUUGAGGCUCGAAAGCGUGGGGAGCAAACAGGAUUAGAUACCCUAGUAGUC